rnacentral:rRNA from 1 species
CGGCGGACGGGUGAGUAAUGCCUAGGAAUCUGCCUGGUAGUGGGGGACAACGUUUCGAAAGGAACGCUAAUACCGCAUACGUCCUACGGGAGAAAGCAGGGACCUUCGGGCCUUGCGCUAUCAGAUUAGCCUAGGUCGGAUUAGCUAGUUGGUGAGGUAAUGGCUCACCAAGGCGACGAUCCGUAACUGGUCUGAGAGGAUGAUCAGUCACACUGGAACUGAGACACGGUCCAGACUCCUACGGGAGGCAGCAGUC